CCUUACCAGGUCUUGACAUCCUCUGACAACUCUAGAGAUAGAGCGUUCCCCUUCGGGGGACAGAGUGACAGGUGGUACAAGGUUGUCGUCAGCUCGUGUCGUGAGAUGUUGGGUUAAGUCCCGCAACGAGCGCAACCCUUGAUCUUAGUUGCCAGCAUUUAGUUGGGCACUCUAAGGUGACUGCCGGUGACAAACCGGAGGAAGGUGGGGAUGACGUCAAAUCAUCAUGCCCCUUAUGACCUGGGCUACACACGUGCUACAAUGGAUGGUACAAAGGGCUGCAAGACCGCGAGGUCAAGCCAAUCCCAUAAAACCAUUCUCAGUUCGGAUUGUAGGCUGCAACUCGCCUACAUGAAGCUGGAAUCGCUAGUAAUCGCGGAUCAGCAUGCCGCGGUGAAUACGUUCCCGGGCCUUGUACACACCGCCCGUCAAACCACGAGAGUUUGUAACACCCGAAGUCGGUGGGGUA
rnacentral:rRNA from 1 species